UUCAAGUGUGAUAACGCUAACAUCCCACUGUCUGUGCUUACAGGACAUACAGGCAUGCUGACCCUUAUGGCGAUGAGGUGGAAUCAGCAAAAGGUUGCGAAUUUGGCCACGUCACUGACCCGAAGAUAUCACCGGACCAACAAGGCACUGCAAAAACAGGUACAGACCCUGGAGUCCAUGACAGAGCAGUUGGGAGUGGCAGACAGCCAAUUGGACGACUGGGUGGAUGACGUGUAUACUGGGCAGAAAGUUGGGAAAUUGCUGUUAAUACAUAUUUGUUACAAAUUAUAAAUGGAUCUUGUCUCAGUAUUCUGAAUUAAACACUAUUCUUACCUAUUUCAUACCUAUUUCUUGGCAGCAACAACGACAGCAACAACAGCAGCAGCUGACUUAGGCAGUAAGAUCGAGGUCCUUGUAGCCGGGAUAAAACAACGGUCACUGCGGCUUUACAAGGAAAGAGACGGCAACAAGGGUCAUGCCAGGCUCCGUGCGAAGAUCAGGACGGAGAAGGGGAUCCUGGCUGCUGUUGUGGAGAAGUACAACAGCAUGGUUCCAAGCACACAAACUGUCUGUUUUGAAACCAUUCUGUCUCACGAAACAGCAUGGCCGUGGCAGCAACCACAAAGUGAUUCUGUUGAUUUAAGGACCAAAAAAAAAGCCUUUGACCAAAUCAUGGCAUUAAGAAGACUCCAGGAGGAGAAGAAAAUUUUGGUCACAGAGAUGGACCGUCAUUGGAAUUCCCUUUUGAGUCGUGGAGACACCCUGGAAAAGCUGUCCCACCUGGUGUCUGAUGACACAGAGAUGAAUUCACAAUGGAUUCUGACCAAAGAAGGGUCCAAAGGACUGCAGUGCGUCAUCCAGAGAAAGCUGUGGAACCUUAAACGGAUGAAGGCCCGUGCAAGAGACUGUUACUUACUGUUACUUACAGAAGACAGCAACUUGCUACAGGACAUCUCAAGCGACGAAUAUGAGAGUGGGAGUGGCUCCGAAAGCUCCUAUGAGCUGUAAUGCAGUAUAAGUGCAGGGCAUUAUCUAAUCUCUGGUAGGAUUAAAUUGUUUGAAUCCGGCAGUAGUGUGAUCUUGAUUUGUCUUUUCUGUCUUUCAUCUUUGUAUGUCUAAUAAAUUUAAGUCUAUUAUA